rfam:Mycosphaerella graminicola mitochondrion, complete genome.
UGCUUACUAGUUUAAUGGUAGAACAGAAUAUUCCUAAUAUUUAUGUCUAAGUUCAAGUCUUAGGUGAGUAA